rnacentral:rRNA from 1 species
CCUACGGGGGGCAGCAGUGGGGGAUAUUGCACAAUGGGGGGAACCCUGAUGCAGCGACGCCGCGUGGGUGAAGGAGCGUUUCGGCGCGUAAAGCCCUAUCGGCAGGGAAGAAGGAGGACGGUACCUGACUAAGAAGCCCCGGCUAACUACGUGCCAGCAGCCGCGGUAAUACGUAGGGGGCAAGCGUUCUCCGGAUUUACUGGGGGAAAAGGGGGCGCAGACGGCAGCGCAAGCCAGGAGUGAAAUGCCGGGGCCCAACCCCGGGAGUGGUCUUGGAACUGCGCGGCUGGAGUGAAGGAGGUGCAGGCGGAAUACCUGGUGUAGCGGUGAAAUGCGUAGAUAUCAGGAGGAACAACGGUGGCGAAGGCGGCCUGCUGGACUGCGACGUUGAGGCCCGAAAGCGUGGGGAGCAAACAGGAUUAGAUACCCCUGUAGUC